AACGAACGCUGGCGGCAUGCCUAACACAUGCAAGUCGAACGAGACCUUCGGGUCUAGUGGCGCACGGGUGCGUAACGCGUGGGAACCUGCCUUUAGGUUCGGAAUAACUCCCCGAAAGGGGUGCUAAUACCGGAUAAUGUCUGCGGACCAAAGAUUUAUCGCCUUUGGAUGGGCCUGCGUUGGAUUAGCUAGUUGGUAGGGUAAAAGCCUACCAAGGCGACGAUCCAUAGCUGGUCUGAGAGGAUGAUCAGCCACACUGGGACUGAGACACGGCCCAGACUCCUACGGGAGGCAGCAGUGGGGAAUAUUGGACAAUGGGCGAGAGCCUGAUCCAGCCAUGCCGCGUGAGUGAUGAAGGCCUUAGGGUUGUAAAGCUCUUUUACCCGGGAUGAUAAUGACAGUACCGGGAGAAUAAGCUCCGGCUAACUCCGUG
rnacentral:rRNA from 1 species